ensembl:Y_RNA Y_RNA Y RNA
GGCUGAUUCAAGUGUGGUGGUGUUUACAACUCAUUGAUCAUAACCAGUUACUGAUUUCUUUAUUCCUUCUCCACUCCUGCUGCUUCACUUGACUGGCCUAAA